AUUGAACGCUGGCGGCAUGCCUUACACAUGCAAGUCGAACGGCAGCACGGGAGCAAUCCUGGUGGCGAGUGGCGAACGGGUGAGUAAUGUAUCGGAACGUGCCCAGUCGUGGGGGAUAACGCAGCGAAAGCUGUGCUAAUACCGCAUACGAUCUAUGGAUGAAAGCGGGGGAUCGCAAGACCUCGCGCGACUGGAGCGGCCGAUGUCAGAUUAGCUAGUUGGUGGGGUAAAGGCUCACCAAGGCGACGAUCUGUAGCUGGUCUGAGAGGACGACCAGCCACACUGGAACUGAGACACGGUCCAGACUCCUACGGGAGGAAGCAGUGGGGAAUUUUGGACAAUGGGCGCAAGCCUGAUCCAGCAAUGCCGCGUGCAGGAUGAAGGCCUUCGGGUUGUAAACUGCUUUUGUACGGAGCGAAAAGGCUCUCUCUAAUACAGGGGGCUCAUGACGGUACCGUAAGAAUAAGCACCGGCUAACUACGUGCCAGCCGCCGCGGUAA
rnacentral:rRNA from 1 species